rnacentral:lncRNA from 1 species
GAGGCAGGCAUGCCAUGAACUGGAAAAUGUUUUUGAGAUCAAGGAAAAGCAGCAAAAAGGAAGGCGUUACUACUUAACUGAGAGAGGAGAUAAAAAUCUUUGUUCUUGAUGGUCUUGAUCCCACCUGCCUGGGUGCUGCAGCUCAGUGCUGCCUGAGAAAGCAAGUGACCAAGAGGAGCAGAAGACUACCAGGUAUCAGGUGCUUUGGGUUGACUAUGAAGAGCUAGAAAAGAAACUCAAUAUUCACCCAUCCAAAUUUUCAAGGAAAAAAGGAAGAAAAACCUGCAUAUGCACAACGUCUAAGACAUAACAAAACAUGAAUCACUCAUCUGUCACGAUUGCCUACAUCUGUAUCCAGGACUGGCUUGCUGACCUGUACCUC